UGCCUGUUUGAGUGUCAUGAAGACUCAUCCCUCUGGGUUUCCCAGAGUGCGAUGGAUUUGGGCGUCUUGCCAUUAGCCUGGCUCGCCUUAAAAACCUAAGUGGUCACAGGACGUAAUAAGUUUUCGUUCAGAGGCUGCUCAUAACACCUAUUACAAUGUAAUCUGACCUCAAAUCAGGUAGGACUACCCGCUGAACUUAA
rnacentral:misc_RNA from 1 species